CCUGUGAUGAAGGGGCCAUCGCUUCUAUCCAUAACAUGCUCCGCACAACCCUGUCUUCCUCACUGCUGAACACCUCCAUCCAAAAAUAAGAGGAAUACUCGAACAAGGCCUUUCGCUUCUGUCAGCACUCGUCAAUUAGGGAAGACGGACUGUCUCCUCUCAGCCUUACCUGUCCCGACUACAUGUCCUCAUUCCAAUGAACGUGGGCAGUCGAGUCUCUUCUCCUUCCCCAGCAACCCUCGCUAGAGAAAGGAGAACCAUACCAAAAUGUACAAAGCUGUGUGUUUAGAAAAUAUAUAAGUUGAGAAAGGAUUUUUUUUUAACUAAUAAUGUAAUAAGCUGUUUUCUUUUUUUUUAAAUCCCAAGAUGUAUUUAUUUUUCCUUUUAGUGUUUUCCAUGUUUCUCGCAUGCUUUAGGCUGUUGAAACUCUUAAGCUGUCUGUCGCUGUAGGCUCCAGUGUGACUGAACAGGGUGAGCGCUCCAGAAUUCAGACUCUUCUCUCCCCCACAAUCUUUAUGCGUGGAAGCCUAAGUCUGUGCAGUACAUAAAGUCAAGUUUUUGCUCAAGGCCUCCCUCAGUUACUCCAGCCAGCUGACAUUCCUCCCAGAGCCCUGGCCUGAUUCAUUCGCCCCUGAGACCCUCCCGCUGAGAUGAAGAGUGGAUGGAGUCUGCAGCUACAUUUUGAUGACUGCAAAAAGAGAAGAUUGGCCAUCAGGAUUGAAGAUUUACCCAUCCUAAAUGGCUAUUUAUUUCCCAUGUCACUCAGACAGUCUCUUCAAGCAAGUGAAUCUUGACCAGAAUUAGCUGCACUAAACUAUGCCAAGAGGCGAACAUAUGUUAUCACGGAUGUGAUUCUUAUUCACAGCCUGGCCAAAAGGUGAGGUCUUUGAUUUGAUGCUGGCAUAUGAUACAUAUGUUCCUGCCACUCUUUAUCCAUUUGAAAAGCAUGCCCAGCAGUGAGAUAACAGGAGUUGAAACGAAUGCCUCUUUUGGGAACGUUGAAUUGUUUGUAAGUGAAAAAAAAGGUCAGGCGAUUUAAUCUAUGUGAAACACUGUCACAGAAUUCUGAUCAAUACGCUCUCAUGCUAAUGUCAGCAUGAGGAGACAAUCCUCGCUACGGAUAACA
rnacentral:lncRNA from 12 species